GUGGGGAAUAUUGGACAAUGGGCGAAAGCCUGAUCCAGCCAUGCCGCGUGAGUGAUGAAGGCCUUAGGGUUGUAAAGCUCUUUCGACGGGGACGAUAAUGACGGUACCCGUAGAAGAAGCCCCGGCUAACUUCGUGCCAGCAGCCGCGGUAAUACGAAGGGGGCUAGCGUUGCUCGGAAUCACUGGGCGUAAAGGGCGCGUAGGCGGCCGAUCAAGUCAGAGGUGAAAGCCCAAGGCUCAACCUUGGAAUUGCCUUUGAUACUGUUCGGCUAGAGACCGGAAGAGGUUAGUGGAACUGCGAGUGUAGAGGUGAAAUUCGUAGAUAUUCGCAAGAACACCAGUGGCGAAGGCGGCUAACUGGUCCGGUUCUGACGCUGAGGCGCGAAAGCGUGGGGAGCAAACAGG
rnacentral:rRNA from 1 species